rnacentral:rRNA from 1 species
GAUGAACGCUGGCGGCGUGCCUAAUACAUGCAAGUCGAGCGAACGGACGAGAAGCUUGCUUCUCUGAUGUUAGCGGCGGACGGGUGAGUAACACGUGGAUAACCUACCUAUAAGACUGGGAUAACUUCGGGAAACCGGAGCUAAUACCGGAUGAUAUUUUGAACCGCAUGGUUCAAUAGUGAAAGACGGUCUUGCUGUCACUUAUAGAUGGAUCCGCGCUGCAUUAGCUAGUUGGUAAGGUAACGGCUUACCAAGGCAACGAUGCAUAGCCGACCUGAGAGGGUGAUCGGCCACACUGGAACUGAGACACGGUCCAGACUCCUACGGGAGGCAGCAGCAGGGAAUCUUCCGCAAUGGGCGAAAGCCUGACGGAGCAACGCCGCGUGAGUGAUGAAGGUCUUCGGAUCGUAAAACUCUGUUAUUAGGGAAGAACAUAUGUGUAAGUAACUAUGCACGUCUUGACGGUACCUAAUCAGAAAGCCACGGCUAACUACGUG